rnacentral:rRNA from 1 species
GAUGAACGCUGGCGGCGUGCCUAAUACAUGCAAGUCGAGCGAACAGACGAGGAGCUUGCUCCUCUGACGUUAGCGGCGGACGGGUGAGUAACACGUGGAUAACCUACCUAUAAGACUGGGAUAACUUCGGGAAACCGGAGCUAAUACCGGAUAAUAUAUUGAACCGCAUGGUUCAAUAGUGAAAGACGGUCUUGCUGUCACUUAUAGAUGGAUCCGCGCCGCAUUAGCUAGUUGGUAAGGUAACGGCUUACCAAGGCAACGAUGCGUAGCCGACCUGAGAGGGUGAUCGGCCACACUGGAACUGAGACACGGUCCAGACUCCUACGGGAGGCAGCAGUAGGGAAUCUUCCGCAAUGGGCGAAAGCUUGACGGAGCAACGCCGCGUGAGUGAUGAAGGUCUUCGGAUCGUAAAACUCUGUUAUUAGGGAAGAACAAAUGUGUAAGUAACUGUGCACAUCUUGACGGUACCUAAUCAGAAAGCCACGGCUAACUACGUG